rnacentral:rRNA from 1 species
CGCCUCCUGCCAACCUAUAGGAGGUCCAGCCUGCCCGGUGACCUAGUUUAACGGCCGCGGUAUCCUAACCGUGCGAAGGUAGCGUAAUCACCUGUUUUUUAAUUGAAGACCUGUAUGAAAGGCAUCACGAGAAUCGUACUGUCUCCUUUUUCCAAUCAGUGAAACUAAUCUCCCCGUGAAAAAGCGGGGAUAUAAAUACAAGACGAGAAGACCCUCUGGAGCUUAAGAUAAAGUAACGUUUUGUACCCUCUUAUCUCACCUAUUUCUCUAAACACUUACAUUACAAAUCUUCGGUUGGGGCAACCGCGGAGUAAAACUCACCCUCCAAGCUGAAUGGAAUUUUCCUAAACAAAAAGACACAGCUUAAUGUAUCAAUAAAUUGACAUCAUGACCCAAUAUUUUGAUUAUCGAACCAAGUUACCCUAGGGAUAACAGCGCAAUCCACUUCAAGAGUUCAUAUCGACAAGUGGGCUUACGACCUCGAUGUUGGAUCAAGGUAUCCCAGUGGUGCAGCCGCUACUAAUGGUUCGUUUGUUCAACGAUUAAAACCUUACGUGAUCUGAGU